rnacentral:rRNA from 1 species
AUUGAACGCUGGCGGCAGGCCUAACACAUGCAAGUCGAACGAGUGGCGGAGGGGUGAGUAAUGUCGGGGAAACUGCCUGAUGGAGGGGGAUAACCACUGGAAACGGUAGCUAAUAGCGUAUACAAUCAGAUGUGCCCAGAUGGGAUGAGCUUGUUGGGGGGGUAACGGCUCACCAAGGCGACGAUCCCUAGCUGGUCUGAGAGGAUGACCAGCCACACUGGAACUGAGACACGGUCCAGACUCCUACGUGAGGCAGCAGUGGGGAAUAUUGCACAAUGGGCGCAAGCCUGAUGCAGCCAUGCCGCGUGUAUGAAGAAGGCCUUCGGGUUGUAAAGUACUUUCAGCGGGGAGGCGUUACCCGCAGAAGAAGCACCGGCUAACUCCGUGCCAGCAGCCGCGGUAAUUC